AGGGCUCCCACCUGGGGCUCCCCCUCUCUCACCUCCUUCAUCCCACUGCUGGGGAAACUGCACACCUGCUCCAGCCAACCCUCUCGGCAAAGCUCUCCGCUGCAGCCCUCGCCCUGCAACAAGAGCACAGAUCACACAGCCAGACAGAAUGCCAAGGCCCCACUGCAAAGCGCCCGCACGCAACUGCAAUGGGGCCCGGGGAACCGGACUCCGCUACCUCCCCGGGCACCCUCUCCCAUCCCGCUCACAGGGAAAUCAUUCUUCUUCCUCCUGAAUGAGAAAUUCUGGUGAUACCAAACAUGCACACUGCCCCCCUACUGCCACACGCCACUCAUCCCCGUCAACUCGGCUCCUGCGCAGCACGCAUUGCUAACUGCCACCCUCCUCUCCUCUCACUGCACAAUCAAGACAACGCACAAAGCUACCUUUUGGUCCGGCAUGACUUCCCCUCUGUCCAUCCACCUGGACUGCUCCUUGCAAAUUCCUUCUCUUCCGGUCACAUGGCAAUGACACCUGCAACAAGCUGUUACGUCACCUCCCCAGGAACAGAGGUGAGGCCAACCUACCUCCAAGUUGCACACGCCAUCCUCCACACCCUUUCUGAAGGCUGCGGUGGCAUCCGCCAUCCUCCAGUCUUCAGGUACCUUUCCCCACAGGAAACAGCAGGGAAAAGUGACAGAGAGCGCCAUUUGCCGGUCACCGCUGCCAGCUCUCAGCGGGCACAGGCAUAGCCCUCUACAGCUCAGGCAUUUGCUGGCCUCCUUUCUGCCUGAACCACUUUUGACCAGCUCCUCUGCAACUGAGGGGAAGGCAACCUUCCUCUGAGACUCUCUCCUCCAGGACCCCAGGUUGCCCAGGAGCACUCUCAGCAGAGACCACUGAAACCAAAACAGGCAUCCAACACAUCCUCCAUUACUCAGGCCCUUGCCUUGUGAAGCACAGGCCUGCAAUUUCUCCAGUCUCUCCUGUUGACAAACUUCCAUUAGCCUUGACCUCCCUCCCAAAGCUGAUACUCAGAGGGACUUGGCCUUCCUCAGCCUCUCUCUUCCUUCUCCCCUUCAAGUUCCUCAGUCAGCCCUGCAGGUCCCCCACCAUUCCUGCGCACUUCCUUCCUCCUUGGGACGCAGCGCACCUCAGCAUGGACGAAGUAAUGCUCCAGCAUUCACAGGACCCCUUCCUAUGCUUGAGCAAGGGUUACCUCCAAGUAGGCCCUUCAAGAGGACAAACCUGGCUCCCUCUAAGUCCAGUGUUUCAAUCCUACUCAUUGCUUUGCAGCUUCCACACAAGAUCCCAAACGCUGUGGUCUCACGACUGGCACGCUCCAGGCUGCCCCUGGCCUUCCUGUCCCCAGAUGGCUCUUCUGCAAUAGGGAGCUCCAGCAGCCCCUCUCCUCAAUGCCUCCUUCGUCACCUGUGUCAGAAGAUCUUACCUUUGACACAUUGCAGGAAACUCCUGGAGCCUACCAUGAGAACUGGCCUCACAGCUGUGGGCACCAUUUCCAGCUGUGGGCAGAAGGUCUAUCAGCUUCCUCACCCUGGUCUGUGACCAACACCCCCACUCAGGUCACCCACUUUUACCUGCCUCUUCAGCCUCACGCACAAACGCUCCGCUGGUUCUUCAGUCAUCCCUAGGUGGAGCUCGAUACGUUCCCGUUCUCUCCCUCGAAAAGAGACUCCACCGCCUGACCGGUCUGCCUUUCCUAAAAGGAACACAGCCAUCCACGACAGCACUCCAGUCGUGCGAGCUGCCCUGCCAGGUCUCCACGGUGGGAACCUAAAUCGUACUCCUGCAGUUACACGGGAAGGAAGAGGCGGGGAAAAAAAAAUAAAACCACGGUCCCAACCUGCUCGCUCCCACCGCUGGAAACGGGAUGGGUGAGAGCACCCGCAAAACACUCCGCAGUGGCCGAGGCCACCCCGGGAUCGUGCUCGGUCUCGGGCGGAGGCCCCGUGCCGGUCCUACUAAAAAGCCACGCGGGAGCCCCCAGCGGCGGCGCCGUGCCGAUCCCAAAGACACGGAGGCAGUCGGGCAGCAACCCUACAGGAGCCCCAGCAGGGGAGAUCUUACCGAGCGACUCUCAAACACUCACCGCUUCCACGAGCUCACUGCUUCGGGCCGAUGAGAGGCUCUGCUACAGCCCUCGCUCAGCCUGCAACACGAGAAACCUUUUGUUUCAGCAGCCCUUGGCCUCGCUUCUCUCUCCCGGCAGCACAGAGGCUGCACGAAUACGGCCCCAUCGCGUUCGCUCCUACCGAGGAGAGCCUGAAGAACUGAAGCACCCGCUAAAAGAAAUCCCGAGGAAUUUGCUGUUAACCACUUGCAAGAUACAAAGUGACGGCCAGCUGGAUGAAAAGGAGAAUGUGUGUGAACACCCGGAACUGACAGACCCGGGACAGUGCAUGUGGCUUGAAGUGGGCACUGAGAGAAAGCUCAGACAAUGUAUAUACAUGCUAUUAACAUUCACAUUAAUUUCCACUGGGACACGACUUAAUUAAGGUGAGCUGUACAAAGUUCAUCUCAUUUCCCUUUACGCUCCAUUCCAUACACAAUGUAUGUUACCAGAGAGAUACUGCGCUAUGCUUCACUACUUUAAUCACUGGCCUGUCCCAUUGUAGUUCAGGAACGCAUGCAAGUGUACUGUUCUUAUUAGAGGCACGGUCUGGAGAAGAUGGCCGGGGAGCUGAGCAUCAUUUCUACAUCAGCUGCUGAAGCGCCCACUAACUUUGGAUGUCGCCUAAACCUUCAGAUGGAAUCCUUGCAGGCAUUCCCGUGGGGAUCGGGAAAUUGCAGUAUGCCGGAACUACCGUUGCUGAUGUGGGGCGAGCGCUCUGAAGUGCACUUGGAGAAGAACACAUUCCAAUCCCGCAUAUAUGAAAAGUUUAAUAUUUUAGACAGCUAGAUGAAAUGCUGGGGUCUUGGUGCAUUUUGCUUUGGCGGUCCAGGCUUUUCAGCAUCUUAGGGAAAUGUUUGGAAAUGAGUUUUAUUUUCACAACUGUGGUACAAUUACAAGGCGGGGAUGUUUCACCCUUCUCACCGAGGUGCCCUUGGUGGUGGUGGUCUGUAAAUGGCUACAGAACUGACAGAGAAGUCUGCAAGCAUUUUCUUCGGUUCUGAUUUUUAUUCUUAUUUGUUUUAACAGAGAGAUAAAAACCAGCAUUGUGCAUGUCCUUGCUCUGCGGGUUGGGGAUGUAUCGUUGUUGUUGUCGUUGUUUUCCUGGGAAGUAAAACAGGGUAUGAUAUUGGUAAUAAGGGCAAGUGGAUUUAUUGCUGAGCGAGUUGUACGCUGUUUGACAGAAAAUUCCUGAACUGAUCGGUGUUGGUGGAAGUUGGGGCUGCCUCCCAAUGUUUCCUGAGCCUUCUAUUUAGUUUGGAGUUCUGGGAAGUAUUUGUGGGCUUAAUCCAUUUACGCUUUUGAUAGGUAAAUGCAAGCCAUGAGUUACAGUAAAUUAUUGCUAAGAAAAGAUGAAUGGAAGAAUGGAUGUUUCAUUUUACUAUAUAUGCUGGGAAAGGUUGUUCUUUCUUUCAGCGUAUAACUCUGCUUUUCCUCGUACAACCUAUUUACAGGGUCAGACUUCUUAAUUUAUUUAUUUUUUUGUUUCUGUAUUUACUGUAAUUAAAGCCAAAGCAGACAACACUUCUUCAGUCUUCUGCAUUUACUGAGUGCCUUUAGCAAACACGCUGCAAGGCAUAGCCGUUAGAUGAGCAUUUCCAACCAUGGUGUGUAAAUGAGUUAUAAAAUACAAGCAACUCUAUAAAACAAGAAAAUCCUGAG
ensembl:lncRNA